rnacentral:rRNA from 1 species
UGAACAGUGGAUUAAGUUCAUGAAGGAUGGUGUUAAUGCCACUCCUCUCCCGACUGUUAACACUACUGGUUAUAUUGACCAUGCCGCUUUUCUUGGCACGAUUAACCCUGAUACCAAUAAAAUCCCUAAGCAUUUGUUUCAGGGUUAUUUGAAUAUCUAUAACAACUAUUUUAAAGCGCCGUGGAUGCCUGACCGUACCGAGGCUAACCCUAAUGAGCUUAAUCAAGAUGAUGCUCGUUAUGGUUUCCGUUGCUGCCAUCUCAAAAACAUUUGGACUGCUCCGCUUCCUCCUGAGACUGAGCUUUCUCGCCAAAUGACGACUUCUACCACAUCUAUUGACAUUAUGGGUCUGCAAGCUGCUUAUGCUAAUUUGCAUACUGACCAAGAACGUGAUUACUUCAUGCAGC